rnacentral:rRNA from 1 species
GUUUCCCUACGGGAGGCAGCAGUAGGGAAUUUUCGUCAAUGGGCGCAAGCCUGAACGAGCAAUGCCGCGUGAACGAGGAAGGUCUUCGGAUCGUAAAGUUCUGUUGAAGGGGAAAAAGAGCGGAGAGAGGCAAUGAACUCCGAUUGAUAUUACCCUUCGAGGAAGUCACGGCUAACUACGUGCCAGCAGCAGCGGUAAUACGUAGGUGGCGAGCGUUAUCCGGAAUGAUUGGGCGUAGAGGGUGCGU